UACGAGGGGUGCAAGCGUUGCUCGGAAUUAUUGGGCGUAAAGGGUAGGUAGGUGGUCUCAUUUGUCUGGGGUGAAAUCCUUGAGCUUAACUCAAGAACUGCCCCAGAAACGGUGAGACUCGAGUACUGGAGAGGGUCGUGGAAUUCCCGGUGUAGCGGUGAAAUGCGUAGAGAUCGGGAGGAACACCAGAGGCGAAGGCGGCGACCUGGACAGUUACUGACACUCAACUACGAAAGCGUGGGGAGCAAACAGG
rnacentral:rRNA from 1 species